rnacentral:Y_RNA from 1 species
GGCUGGUCCAAUGGUAGUGGGUUAUCAGAACUUAUUAAUAUUAGUGUCACUAAAGUUGGUAUUCAACCCUCCCUUGGUAAAUUUGACUGGCUUUAA